rnacentral:rRNA from 1 species
ACAAGCCUACGGGACGCAGCAGUGAGGGAUAUUGGUCAAUGGGGGAAACCCUGAACCAGCAACGCCGCGUGAGGGAAGACGGUUUUCGGAUUGUAAACCUCUGUCCUCUGUGAAGAUAAUGACGGUAGCAGAGGAGGAAGCUCCGGCUAACUACGUGCCAGCAGCCGCGGUAAUACGGAGGAUGCGAGCGUUAUCCGGAUUUAUUGGGUUUAAAGGGUGCGUAGGCGGAGUGUCAAGUCAGCGGUAAAAUUUCGGGGCUCAACCCCGUCGUGCCGUUGAAACUGACGCCCUUGAGUGAGUGAGAA